rnacentral:rRNA from 1 species
UACGUAGGCAGCGAGCGUUGUUCGGAGUUACUGGGCGUAAAGCGUGCGUAGGCGGUGGUCCAAGUCUGGUGUGAAAUCUCCCGGCUUAACUGGGAGGGUGCGCCGGAAACUGGGCCGCUGGAGUACGGGAGAGGCAAGCGGAGUUCCAGGUGUAGCGGUGAAAUGCGUAGAUAUCUGGAGGAACACCCGUGGUGCAGACGGCUUGCUGGACCGUGACUGACGCUGAGGCACGAAAGCGUGGGUAGCAAACAGG